AAUGAACGCUGGCGGCAGGCUUAACACAUGCAAGUCGAGCGAAGGGAGGAAGGGCGAGGAAUGUCAGGGAAACUGCCUGAUCGAGGGGGACAAGUACUGGAAACGGUAGCUAACACCGCAUAACACCAUAUGUGCCGAGAUGUGAUUAGCGAGUAUGUGGGGUAAUGGCUAACACAGGCGACGAUCCCUAGCUGGUCUGAGAGGAUGACCAGCCACACUGGAACUGAGACACGGCCCAGAUUCCUACGGGAGGCAGCAGUGGGGAAGAUUGCACAAUGGGCGCAAGCCUGAUGCAGCCAUGCCGCGUGUGUGAAGAAGGCCUUCGGAUUGUAAAGCACUUUCAGCGAGGAGGCGUUACUCGCAGAAGAAGCACCGGCUAACUCCGUGCCAGCAGCCGCGGUAAUUC
rnacentral:rRNA from 1 species